rnacentral:ncRNA from 17 species
AAUUAAUAUUUCAACCUUAUUUAACAUAUAGUAAUAGGCUUGAAAGGGAAGAUGGUGAAAUUCCAUCACUGCCCCGCAGCUGUAAGUGGGAACGAAAUCUCCAUAUAAACCACUGUUCUAGAGGGUUAGGAUGGGAAGGUGGGAGAGAGUAGGAAGAUCCACGAGUCAGAAAACCUUAUCAGUGGCCUGAAAGCCUU